GCUCCGGUGGCCAAGUUGGAUUAAGGCAUGUGGCUUAUGUUUCUCAGAUCUGGUUUCGAGAUCUUCGAGUUCAUGGGGUUUUAAUCGCAGAAAAGGUUGCUUUUCUACACGAAACCGCGAGAUCGUGGGUUCGAGUCCCACCCGGAGCA
rnacentral:tRNA from 2 species